rnacentral:sRNA from 1 species
UUUUUUUAGUAUUUUUAAAAUCAAAAACGAAAUAUGUGAAGAAGAUUCUUCUUUAUCUAAAUUUUGUUCAAAAUUAUUAUUUAAAAAAAAGUUUGUUCUCACGGAUUUUCGUUUUUGUUUUAAUUAUGUAAUAUAGGUUUUGGUUUUCUUUUUUAUCCACGAUUUCCUUUUUGAUUUUAUAAUUCUGUUGAAAAAUAAUUUGGUUUUGCUGAUUUGUCAAAAUUUUAUUGGUGGAGUGACUUGUGCUUUAAAAUAUAAAAGAUUUGUUUUAUUUUU